AUUGAACGCUGGCGGCAGGCCUAACACAUGCAAGUCGAACGAGUGGCGGACGGGUGAGUAAUGUAUGUGAAACUGCCUGAUGGAGGGGGAUAACUACUGGAAACGGUAGCUAAUACCGCAUACCAUCGGAUGUGCCCAGAUGGGUUUAGCUAGUUGGUGGGGUAAAGGCUCACCAAGGCAACGAUCCGUAGCUGGUUUGAGAGGACGACCAGCCACACUGUGAAUGAGACACGGCCCAGACUCCUACGGGAGGCAGCAGUGGGGAAUUUUGGACAAGGGGGGAAACCCUGAUCCAGCCAUCCCGCGUGUAUGAAGAAGGCCUUCGGGUUGUAAAGUACUUUUGGCAGAGAAGCGGUAUCUGCAGAAUAAGCACCGGCUAACUACGUGCCAGCAGCCGCGGUAAUUC
rnacentral:rRNA from 1 species